AGCCCACUUCAGAUGCUCCGUCUCCCUUUCUCUCUGUCCCUCCCCCCAGCUCACACACUGUCUCUCAAAAAUAGAUAAACAUUAAAAAUAAUGAAGUCAUCUAUACUUUCUGAGUAAAUGAAUGACAGAUUUUAGAAAAAGGACGUCAGAGUCAAAAUACAGUAGUGAAUAAAAGAAAUCCUGAAUGAACAAGGUUUGAUCAUCUCUUUUCUUAAUGUCUGUUUAUUUUGAAAGAGAGCAAGGGGGGAGGGGCAGAGAGAGAGGGAGAGAAAGAGCCCCAAGCGGGCUCCGUGCUCAGUGUGGAACCCGAUGCGAGGGACUCGAUCUUACGACCGUGAGAUCACAGCCUGAGCUGAAAUCAAGAGUCGGAUGCUUAACCGACUGAGCCACCCAGGCGCCCCUGACAAUCUCUUUAGAUGCCCCCAAAUAAAUGCUUGUGGCUUAGCGAUAGGUGAUGGAAUAUGGCACCAACCGCUGGCCACCAACAGAGUCCCCCGAGGGGACAGUAGGACUGGGGCACCGCCCAGCAGGUUUGGCAGGGUUGGUAGGAACGGUUCCAAGCGGAGUGAUUGGCCCAUCAGUGCCUCUUCGGCUCUAUUAGUUUGCUGCUGCUGGGCAAGGACACCUGUUCUCCUGGUGCCUGCUCCCGUUCCCCCAGCGUUUUAGUGAGAAUGGCCCCCAAGUGUCUGUCUCGGUGUGGUGACUUCAGUGAGCCAACAAAUAACUGUGUUGAAAGCACAAGACUAGAGAGUAACAGUAAUCGGAAGCAGCGGCAGCAGCUAGUUCACUAUUUGCUUACUUGGUGUCAAGGCCUGGGUUGGGCGUGUUGCAGUCUUAAUUUCGCCCAACAGUCCGUGAAAACAUACUUUAUUAUCCCCAUCUGGCAGAUAAGGGGACAGGGCUUAAAGGAUGUAGGUAACCUGUUCAGGUGCCCAAAGCCGCAAAUCCAAAACUGCCAGGUAGGGGUUUAAUCCAGGCCUGUUAACUCCAAAGCCUGCUGACGGUUAUACUGCCCUGCUGCAGGGUGCAGGGGUACAGAGACGUCUAAGCCAUGGUUACCAUCAAAGAAUCAAUAAUUAGAACGAUGAGGAUGGUGGCAGCUACUGUUUGUUGAGCACCUGCUUUGAGCCAGGCGCAGUACCAGGCCCUGUAGUCACUCUUAGGUCACAAGGGCAGAAACUCCUCAUGCCAGCUCAGACUCCUUAAUGAGCUGGGUGGAGCGGGGGCUGGUGGUGACUUUUUGAAUAAGAGAGGUGGACACAGAGACAGAGCUGACGAGAAACCAAGAAGACCCAUCUGUGCAUCGUUGGGCUUCCCGAAGUGUGGGCCGGGAUUCCAGGCAACUCCAUUCUCCUAUUUUGGAAGAUUUCCAUUAGCGCAAAUGUGGUUUAUAAAGUGAAGCUUAGAAAAUGUUGUUUCUAUAACACUACCUCAAAUUUGCACAAUACUUAUGAGUC